AGGCCUGGCGUGACAAUCGGUCUGAGCGGGCGCAGUGGCGGCAGCCGCUGCACCCGCGUGGCUAGAAGCCCACGGUCUGCAGGCGAGUUGAGGUUUCAGACUCUUCAGCAGACAGCAGGAUGGGCUGCGCCAGGACACAGAUGACCGCUGGAUGUGCGAAAAAAGGGUCAGCACGUGAGCCACCAGGUCAUUCCAGCUUCGGCCGUGGGGCCCCGCUCAGACGCGCGCCUGUCUCCUGGUGAAAUCCUGGAGGCUGUCCUUUCCACCGUCCUGUCUGCACGAGGAGGACACGGGGGUCAGCUUCCUGGGAGAAGGGAGUCGUCCGGAUGGCUGGUCCCCGGAGGGGUGACUUACUGCAUGAACAUCGAAAUCAGAUGAACCCUGACGGCGACAGCGAUGGUGCACGGGCCCCUCACCCCGAUACCCAGGACCCAGAGAGGAUCGGCUGGAAGUGAUGGACACGAAACCACCGCCCCCCGCCCCGGAUAAAGUGGCAGGAGCAGCGACACGUGAGUGUCCGAGGCUGCUCUGUCUGUUCAUGUCCCCGAGUUCACGUGUGGAGUCCUAACCCCCCAGUGACAGUGUGAGGAGGUGGGGCCUUUGGAGGCCACGGGGUCAUGAGGGUGGGGCUUUAUGCUGCUGUAAGACAGCCCUCAGGGUGUUCCUGUCUUGGCCCAGUGGUUAACAAAUCUGACUAGGAACCGCGAGGUUGCGGGUUUGAUCCCUGGCCUUGCUCAGUGGGUUAAGGAUCUGGCAUUGCCGGGAGCUGUAGUGUAGGCCGGCAGCUACAGCUCCUAUUGGACCCCUUGCCUGGGAAUCUCCGUAUGCCGUGGGAGUGGCCCAAGAAAUGGCAGAAAGACAAGGAAAAAAAAAAAAAAAAA
rnacentral:lncRNA from 1 species